AUACGGAGGAUGCGAGCGUUAUCCGGAUUUAUUGGGUUUAAAGGGUGCGUAGGCUGUGCGUUAAGUCAGGGGUGAAAUGCCGUCGCUCAACGACGGAGCUGCCCUUGAUACUGGCGUGCUGGAGUACGGAUGCCGUUGGAGGAAUGAGUGGUGUAGCGGUGAAAUGCUUAGAUAUCACUAAGAACACCGAUUGCGAAGGCAUCUGACGAAUCCGUCACUGACGCUGAGGCACGAAAGCGUGGGGAUAGAACAGGAUUAGAUACCCUGGUAUUCCACGCCGUAAACGAUGAUGACUAACCGUCGGCGAUAGACAGCCGGUGGCCAAGCGAAAGCGAUAAGUCAUCCACCUGGGGAGUACGUCGGCAACGAUGAAACUCAAAGGAAUUGACGGGG
rnacentral:rRNA from 1 species